rnacentral:rRNA from 1 species
UUAUUUGAGAGUUUGAUCCUGGCUCAGGAUGAACGCUGGCGGCGUGCCUAACACAUGCAAGUUGAGCGAUUUACUUCGGUAAAGAGCGGCGGACGGGUGAGUAACGCGUGGGUAACCUACCCUGUACACACGGAUAACAUACCGAAAGGUAUGCUAAUACGGGAUAAUAUAUUUGAGAGGCAUCUCUUGAAUAUCAAAGGUGAGCCAGUACAGGAUGGACCCGCGUCUGAUUAGCUAGUUGGUAAGGUAACGGCUUACCAAGGCGACGAUCAGUAGCCGACCUGAGAGGGUGAUCGGCCACAUUGGAACUGAGACACGGUCCAAACUCCUACGGGAGGCAGCAGUGGGGAAUAUUGCACAAUGGGCGAAAGCCUGAUGCAGCAACGCCGCGUGAGUGAUGAAGGCCUUCGGGUCGUAAAACUCUGUCCUCAAGGAAGAUAAUGACGGUACUUGAGGAGGAAGCCCCGGCUAACUACGUGCCAGCAGCCGCGGUAAUACGUAGGGGGCUAGCGUUAUCCGGAUUUACUGGGCGUAAAGGGUGCGUAGGCGGUCUUUCAAGUCAGGAGUGAAAGGCUACGGCUCAACCGUAGUAAGCUCUUGAAACUGGGAGACUUGAGUGCAGGAGAGGAGAGUGGAAUUCCUAGUGUAGCGGUGAAAUGCGUAGAUAUUAGGAGGAAC